UCCUAUUACACUCAAAAUGACGUGCUUUGAUGGGCUACGUUCUAAGUGACACUGCUGGUAACACCACUAGCAUCAAGCUGUUUGGAAUCAGCCCCAUUAAAAUGUCCCAUUUGGCUAUAACGUAAACCCCUUGUGGCAUAUCCAUCUAGAACCUAUUUUGCAGGGAUUUCAGUAAGAACUAGUUGAUUCAAAGCUGUGUGGUUUGUAGAGGUGUGUGGAGAGUUACACCCGUGUGUGAGCUGCAGAAUGAACAAGCAGAAGUUAAAUCCAUGUCGAGUAGUAAAAAAGAAGAAUAAAACUUGUAGACGUUCAGUUGUCGAGCCUUCAGCGGUCCCGUCACACCAGAAAUGAACAAAUUCUUCUUGGAAUUCGCCUCUGCUUGUUUCAGUCUGAUUGUUCUGAACUGCUGUUUUUAGGGACUGUUACUCCUGGGAGUCUGCUUUCUCCAGCCUGUGGCUUCUGGAGUGUCCAGAACUGGCUGACCCUUAGUUCCAUUGAAGUCUGGCUAGGCCAAAAGAAGAUAUAUUGAUCCCUCAACCACAUGGUAUUCAGGAGCAAUACCAUGGGUGUUUAUCUGGGUCAUGACAUAAAGGAGAGGGUACAGGGCUGAAGGUUUAUCCGGGAGCCUGAAAUUCCAUGUGGUGCAAAAGAGACAUUGAAAUCACCUCAAAUGUCAUCGAAUGGUGGUUGUUCUCCUGGAAGCACCUGUGGUAUUGGAGAAAGAAGCAACGUGGUGGGGGGGCAGGCAUGGGGGGGGUGUUGACAUAGCCUCAAGCCGUUUGUCAUAUGACAUCCACCCCGCCCAACAGUAAUGAGGUUUGGGUUUAACAGUGAUUACACCACCGCCUGAGCUGCUAAGAAAGCAAACACAGCUGAGCAGAAUCUAAAUCAAUAAAGUCAUCACAGAUGGAAGCCAGGGGUUGGACAGGUCACGGACUGCGCUCGAAAAAUUAGCAGCAGGGUUACAGCCUCAAUGAAAUAUUGACUGGUGUCUUGUGCACUUUAAUCUCCAAAUUCUUCUGAGAUACAAGGCUCUCUUGCUGGUUCUGUAGCUAUGUUCCCAAGUCAUAAUAAUUAUAGAGGCUACAAAAUGACCAGGACUCUGAUGUGUUGUCCAAGUCAUAGGCAGCCUUUCCUGUCACUGAUGUUUCAGCUAGCAAUAAUAAUCCAGUCUGAGUCUAAACACUUACAGUAUCUGGCUCCACAGUUUCAUCGCUUGAUAUAACAAAAGCUAUGUUAGUUAACAAACAAAUUUGAUUUGGCUAAAUUACACACAGUGCAUUUGAUUAAAACCCUUAGUGUGUGAUAUGGAGCUUCAGUUUUCAUACAUUCCCAGCCCCUCACUCCCUUUCAGCUCUUUGUCACAUUUCAGCAGUAUUGCAUCACUUGUAAAAUUCCAUAAGCAAUUUAAAUCCUGCUUCUCUACAUUUCAGAUAGAGCUAAAAUACCCGCUUUGUUGCUGCAGUACUGUCCCUGUUUAUGGCUGCAUUGCAUUUCUGAAACAGGCAUCAGGCUUUUCCAAGUGUUAUUUAAUAUGAAUGUACCGUAUAUGACACACUGAGGUGCAGGAGAGAAAGACAGACAGUAUGUCUCAUGAAUUCAGAGGCACUAACAUUGUGAUGCAUUAAUAGUCAUUUAUAUAAAGAUACUCAUGUUCAUGAAUUUCACUUUUUUGUCAUUAUUCUAACAAAUCUGCAUCUUCGCGUUUCAACUCGACAGCUUUGUGCAUUCUUGCAGUACUGUAAAACUGACAGGACAUGACAUGACCCUGCUGAGAAGCAGCUGGAUUAUGGCUAGAUCCUCAGUCAUGAAAAGCUAGCUCCAGAGUGUUCCUUGCGGGAUGAUCGUCAUGUAAUGUAUAAAUGUCUCCAUCUGUGACAUCCGACCUGCUUCAUCUACAGUGUCAAUCCUCCUGCUAGCUAGGAUGUCAGAUUAAUGUACAUUUAUAGCGAGUGCUCAUUAUAGCCAGAAUGCUGGGAUUAAACUGUUCCUCUCUCAUUUCUGAAAGUAGGAGCAGCCUCAUCAUCACAGGCAGUCAGAGCCAGUGUGAUAUGGGACAAAAAAGAUCCCUCUUUCAAGACAUGUAAAAAACAAACCAACUGGAAGCAGUGCUGAAGCCCACAGAGGAAGGUCUAUACUCAAAUCCAGAAGUUCAGAAGGUCAGAUCUUACCCUGGACACCACAGAGUUGGGAGGGCAGAGAGUAUGGGGCCCACUCUAGCCCCCAGCAUGGGGAUCUAGCCAUCACAAGGUAAUUCCCAGCCCUACUGGUCCCCAUUUUACAGGUAGGUGCACUGGAUCAAUCGAGCUGAAGUACUUGGCUCCAAGGUGUAACAACUGUGUCCAUAGCAGGGACUUCAACUUCCAGCUGUGACAUCAGAGAGAGCUAGAUAAGACACUCACAGAUGGAAGACUACUUCGCCCUGUCCAUCUCGGAGCAGAUACUGCCCAGAUAACUCCCACUGUGGGGUAAGAAGGGAGCUGACUGGCACUCUUGGAAAAGAAAAUAAGAUCAUUCAUUUCCAUUACGAUUAUCACCAGUGCUAUUAACACAAAAACAGUGUCUUUCUGUCUCCCAGCAGUUACAAUGACUUUGUAGCUGGAAUUGUUCUGCCUCCUUGGUUUUGCAAUUGUCUCGUUUUUCCAACACGUAUUCACUACAAGCCACAUGACAAGUGAAAUUUAAAUUUGGCAGCAUCCUCGGUGCCUUGUAUGAUACAUCCCAGGUGAUCCAGCUGAUUGCUGUCUAUUUUGUCUAGUUAUAAAUGUCAUCUUGGGAGCACAUACAGCUUACUGAAAGACCACUGGAGCAUUUUCGACCAGUUCAGUGAAUGAGAAGAGGUUUCUGCCAGGCAGGUUUGUGUAUUUUAAAGAUGACGCAUCUGAGUGACACAUCUGGAAUGAAACGAUUGUUCUUGUUCAGCCCUCUUCCAGCCCACAACAAUGCGUGUGCAUCACAUUUAGGCUGACAAGUAACUACUGAACCUUGAAAGCUUAAAUGGCGCUUCAAUAAAAUGAAAGCUGCUUUAAAAAGCCCAUCACCUUUCUCUAUUUUAAGCAUAAAACACACGUGCUUUUCAGCAGCUCUACAUUAAUCUCAGUCUCUCUCUUUUCCUCUGUCAGAGUCUUCAGACAGUUCUGCGAUGCCAGUGAUGUGCUCCCAGUGAGGACUGAAUGAACACGUGUUGACCUAGGGUUCAGAGGUCACAGGAGGGUCAGCCAGUUGUCCCUACUGACAAAGGAGUCGUAGCCACUAAGCUUGACAUCACACUCCUGUCCCUUUGCACAGCUGAGUCAGCUCCUGGAACCCGAACCAAACUGCAACGCACACAGUUGUCUCAGAGUCGGCUGUCAGACCAGACUACACGCCAGGCUGGCCCCCGAACCCCAGGAGGUGAAGAAAGUGAUACCGCAUCCUUCUGGUGGUUGUGGUUGAGGCAGUUUUCAAGUGGCCCCUGGCCAGAGCCCAGCGAACGAC